AGCGAACGCUGGCGGCAUGCCUAACACAUGCAAGUCGAACGAACCCUUCGGGGUUAGUGGCGCGCGGGUGCGUAACGCGUGGGGAUCUGCCCAAAGGUUCGGAAUAACUCAGAGAAAUUUGAGCUAAUACCGGAUAAUGUCUUCGGACCAAAGAUUUAUUGCCUUUGGAUGAACCCGCGUAGGAUUAGCUUGUUGGUGGGGUAAAGGCCUACCAAGGCGACGAUCCUUAGCUGGUCUGAGAGGAUGAUCAGCCACACUGGGACUGAGACACGGCCCAGACUCCUACGGGAGGCAGCAGUGGGGAAUAUUGGACAAUGGGCGAAAGCCUGAUCCAGCAAUGCCGCGUGAGUGAUGAAGGCCUUAGGGUUGUAAAGCCCUUUUACCAGGGAUGAUAAUGACAGUACCUGGAGAAUAAGCUCCGGCUAACUCCGUG
rnacentral:rRNA from 1 species